rnacentral:piRNA from 1 species
UGUUUAUAAGACACUCCCUUAGCCUA